CAGAUAUUAGUUUAUAUUAAAAUAUUAAUUUUGGAGAUUAAUGAUAAGAUUAGUUUUAUAUCUGA
rnacentral:tRNA from 1 species